CUAUGCGCCUUGCCAGCCCGCUCAGUCAGAGUUUGAUCCUGGCUCAGAUUGAACGCUGGCGGCAUGCUUUACACAUGCAAGUCGAACGGCAGCGCGGGGCAACCUGGCGGCGAGUGGCGAACGGGUGAGUAAUAUAUCGGAACGUACCCAAGAGUGGGGGAUAACGUAGCGAAAGUUACGCUAAUACCGCAUACGAUCCAAGGAUGAAAUGGGGGAUCGCAAGACCUCAUGCUCCUGGAGCGGCCGAUAUCUGAUUAGCUAGUUGGUGAGGUAAAGGCUCACCAAGGCCACGAUCAGUAGCUGGUCUGAGAAGACGACCAGCCACACUGGAACCGAGACACGGUCCAG
rnacentral:rRNA from 1 species